AUGGCCGUCCAAGAAGAAAAUGUAGCCAUUGGUGCCAUCUAUCGACCACAGGUUAAAGAUUGGCGAUCCGUUGGAUACCGACCGAGUUAUAGGCAAAACUUGGUGCAAAAAUGAGGAAAAUUUUACAUUUUCUCAAACAGAGUAAGGAACUUGGUUCCUCGAAUAACUUCUGGCACAGACAUUUGAAGGCAUGGCCGUCCAAGAAGAAAAUGUAGCCAUUGGUGCCAUCUAUCGACCACAGGUUAAAGAUUGGCGAUCCGUUGGAUACCGACCGAGUUAUAGGCAAAACUUGGUGCAAAAAUGAGCCUUAGUAAAUUUUCAUAUUUUUGAAUUUUUUGAUUUUUUUAUUAUUUUUCACUCUUUUUUUAUAUAAAGCAUUACUUGAGUGAAAAGAAACACAUUUCAACCAAUUGGCAUUAAAAUAAAUCAAUUUUAUUUUUUUUGCAAAAUUUCUCAAAAAAAAACGUAAGGGGUAAGCCUUAUGAAAUUUUCGAGUGGAAAAUUUUUUUGAAAUUUUUUUCUGAUUUUUUAUUCUUUUUUUAAUUUAAAGCAUUAUUUGAGUGAAAACAAACAUAUUGCAACAAAUUCGCUAUAAAAUAUAUAUCACAUUUAAAAUUUUUGCUGAAUUGCAGAAAAAUGAGGAAAAUUUUACAUUUUCUCAAACAGGGUAAGGAACUUGGUUCGUCGCAUAACUUCUGGCACAGACAUCUGAGAGCAUGGCUGUCCAAGAAGAAAACGUAGCCAUUGGUGCCAUCUAUCGAUCACAGGUUAAAGAUUGGCGAUCCGUUGGAUACCGACCGAGUUAUAGGCAAAACUUGGUGCAAAAAUGAGCCUUAGUAAAUUUUCAUAUUUUUGAAUUUUUUGAUUUUUUUAUUAUUUUUCACUCUUUUUUUAUAUAAAGCUUUACUUGAGUGAAAAGAAACACAUUUCAACCAAUUGGCAUUAAAAUAAAUCAAUUUUAUUUUUUUUGCAAAAUUUCUCAAAAAAAACGUAAGGGGUAAGCCUUAUGAAAUUUUCGAGUGGAAAAUUUUUUUGAAAUUUUUUUCUGAUUUUUUAUUCUUUUUUUAAUUUAAAGCAUUAUUUGAGUGAAAACAAACAUAUUGCAACAAAUUCGCUAUAAAAUAUAUCACAUUUAAAAUUUUUGCUGAAUUGCAGAAAAAUGAGGAAAAUUUUACAUUUUCUCAAACAGGGUAAGGAACUUGGUUCCUCGCAUAACUUCUGGCACAGACAUCUGAGAGCAUGGCUGUCCAAGAAGAAAACGUAGCCAUUGGUGCCAUCUAUCGAUCACAGGUUAAAGAUUGGCAAUCCGUUGGAUACCGACCGAGUUAUAGGCAAAACUUGGUGCAAAAAUGAACCUUAGUAAAUUUUCAUUUUUUUGAAUUUUUUGAUUUUUUUAUUAUUUUUCACUCUUUUUUUAUAUAAAGCAUUACUUGAGUGAAAAGAAACACAUUUCAACCAAUUGGCAUUAAAAUAAAUCAAUUUUAUUUUUUUUGCAAAAUUUCUCAAAAAAAACGUAAGGGGUAAGCCUUAUGAAAUUUUCGAGUGGAAAAUUUUUUUGAAAUUUUUUUGUGAUUUUUUAUUCUUUUUUUAAUUUAAAGCAUUAUUUGAGUGAAAACAAACUUAUUACAACAAAUUCGCAUUCAAAUAUAUCACAUUUAAAAAUUUUGCUACAUUGCUCAAAAAUGAGGAAAAUUUUACAUUUUCUCAAACAGGGUAAGGAACUUGGUUCCUCGCAUAACUUCUGGCACAGACAUCUGAGGGCAUGGCCGUCCAAGAAGAAAAUGUAGCCAUUGGUGCCAUCUAUCGAUCACAGGUUAAAGAUUGGCGAUCCGUUGGAUACCGACCGACUUAUAGCCAAAACUUGGAGCAAAAAUGAGCCUUAUGCAAUUUUCUAAUUUUUAAUUUUUUUUAUUAUUUUAUAAUUUUUUAUUCUGUUUUUUAUUUAAAGCAUUAUUUGAGUGAAAACAAACGUUUUUCAACCAAUUGGCAUUAAAAUAAAUCAAUUUAAUUUUUUUUGCAAAAUUUCUCAAAAAAACGUAAGGGAUAAGCCUUAUGAAAUUUUCGAGUGGAAAAUUUUUUUGAAAUUUUUUUCUGAUUUUUUAUUCUUUUUUUAAUUUAAAGCAUUAUUUGAGUGAAAACAAACUUAUUGCAACAAAUUCGCAAUAAAAUAUAUCACAUUUAAAAUUUUUGCUGAAUUGCAGAAAAAUGAGGAAAAUUUUACAUUUUCUCAAACAGGGUAAGGAACUUGGUUUCUCGAAUAACUUCUGGCACAUACAUCUGAGGGCAUGGCCGUCCAGGAAGAAAAUGUAGCCAUUGGUUUCAUCUAUCGACCACAGGUUAAAGAUUGGCGAUCCGUUGGAUACCGACCGAGUUAUAGGCAAAACUUGGUGCAAAAAUGAGCCUUAGUAAAUUUUCAUAUUUUUGAAUUUUUUGAUUUUUUUAUUAUUUUUCACUCUUUUUUUAUAUAAAGCAUUACUUGAGUGAAAAGAAACACAUUUCAACCAAUUGGCAUUAAAAUAAAUCAAUUUUAUUUUUUUUUUGCAAAAUUUCCCAAAAAAAACGUAAGGGGUAAGCCUUAUGAAAUUUUCGAGUGGAAAAUUUUUUUGAAUUUUUUUCUGAUUUUUUAUUCUUUUUUUAAUUUAAAGCAUUAUUUGAGUGAAAACAAACUUAUUGCAACAAAUUCGCAAUAAAAUAUAUCACAUUUAAAAUUUUUGCUGAAUUGCAGAAAAAUGAGGAAAAUUUUACAUUUUCUCAAACAGGGUAAGGAACUUGGUUCCUCGCAUAACUUCUGGCACAGACAUCUGAGAGCAUGGCUGUCCAAGAAGAAAACGUAGCCAUUGGUGCCAUCUAUCGAUCACAGGUUAAAGAUUGGCGAUCCGUUGGAUACCGACCGAGUUAUAGGCAAAACUUGGUGCAAAAAUGAGCCUUAGUAAAUUUUCAUAUUUUUGAAUUUUUUGAUUUUUUUAUUAUUUUUCACUCUUUUUUUAUAUAAAGCAUUACUUGAGUGAAAAGAAACACAUUUCAACCAAUUGGCAUUAAAAUAAAUCAAUUUUAUUUUUUUUGCAAAAUUUCUCAAAAAAAACGUAAGGGGUAAGCCUUAUGAAAUUUUCGAGUGGAAAAUUUUUUUGAAAUUUUUUUCUGAUUUUUUAUUCUUUUUUUAAUUUAAAGCAUUAUUUGAGUGAAAACAAACAUAUUGCAACAAAUUCGCUAUAAAAUAUAUCACAUUUAAAAUUUUUGCUGAAUUGCAGAAAAAUGAGGAAAAUUUUACAUUUUCUCAAACAGGGUAAGGAACUUGGUUCCUCGCAUAACUUCUGGCACAGACAUCUGAGAGCAUGGCUGUCCAAGAAGAAAAUGUAGCCAUUGGUGCCAUCUAUCGACCACAGGUUAAAGAUUGGCGA